rnacentral:rRNA from 1 species
UGAAGGUGGCGGACGGGUGAGUAACGCGUCAAUAACUUGCCUUACAGACUGGGACAACAUUUGGAAACGAAUGCUAAUACCGGAUAUUAUGAUUGGGUCGCAUGAUCUGGUUAUGAAAGCUAUAUGCGCUGUGAGAGAGCUUUGCGUCCCAUUAGUUAGUUGGUGAGGUAACGGCUCACCAAGACGAUGAUGGGUAGCCGGCCUGAGAGGGUGAACGGCCACAAGGGGACUGAGACACGGCCCUUACUCCUACGGGAGGCAGCAGUGGGGAAUAUUGGACAAUGGACCAAAAGUCUGAUCCAGCAAUUCUGUGUGCACGAUGAAGUUUUUCGGAAUGUAAAGUGCUUUCAGUUGGGAAGAAGUCAGUGACGGUACCAACAGAAGAAGCGACGGCUAAAUACGUGCCAGCAGCCGCGGUAAUACGUAUGUCGCAAGCGUUAUCCGGAUUUAUUGGGCGUAAAGCGCGUCUAGGCGGCUUAGUAAGUCUGAUGUGAAAAUGCGGGGCUCAACCCCGUAUUGCGUUGGAAACUGCUAAACU